CCUACGGGUGGCAGCAGUGAGGAAUAUUGGUCAAUGGGCGCUAGCCUGACCCAGCCAAGUAGCGUGAAGGAUGACUGCCCUCUGGUUUGUAAACUUCUUUUAUAUGGUAAUAAAGUGCAGUAUGUAUACUGCUUUGCAUGUACCUUAUGAAUACGGAUCGGCUAACUCCGUGCCAGCAGCCGCGGGAAUACGGAGGAUGCGAGCGUUAUCCGGAUUUAGUGGGUGUAAAGGGAGCGUAGGCGGGUUGUUAAGUGCGUUGUGAAAGUUUGCGGCUCAACCGUAAAAUUGCAGUUGAUACUGGCAUCCUUGAGUACAGGAGAGGUAGGCGGAAUUCGUGGUGUAGCGGUGAAAUGCUUAGAUAUCACGAAGAACUCCGAUGGCGAAGGCAGCCUGCUGGACUGUAACUGACGCUGAUGCUCGAAAGUGUGGGUAGCAAACAGGAUUAGAUACCCGGGUAGUC
rnacentral:rRNA from 1 species